rnacentral:rRNA from 1 species
UUUAUAUGAGAGUUUGAUCCUGGCUCAGGAUGAACGCUGGCGGCGUGCCUAAUACAUGCAAGUCGAACGAGUUCUCGUUGAUGAUCGGUGCUUGCACCGAGAUUCAACAUGGAACGAGUGGCGGACGGGUGAGUAACACGUGGGUAACCUGCCCUUAAGUGGGGGAUAACAUUUGGAAACAGAUGCUAAUACCGCAUAGAUCCAAGAACCGCAUGGUUCUUGGCUGAAGAUGGCGUAAGCUAUCGCUUUUGGAUGG